GCGAGGAUGGCGGAAUAGGCAGACGCGCUAGCUUGAGGGGCUAGUGCUCGAAAGGGCGUGGGGGUUCAAGUCCCCCUCCUCGCACCA
rnacentral:tRNA from 1 species